UAAAUGUUUUUAAGUCAAGUAUCUAGAGUGCAGCACGGUGAAGAAAAUCAUAUUUGAAGUUAACAAAAACUUCUCCUCCUCCUACUCCUCCCGUGGUUUUGAGAAAGAAAGAAGAGGCUGCUCCCAGACACCUGCCUCUGUGGUCGGAUUACGGUUUCAAGCAAUCACAUCAUCCUUAGCCAACGUAAUUGUGUAACCAUCUCCGUCUCUGAUAUUGUCCACGCAAAAAAACCCAAAGCCACGCCCCCUUGCUGCAUCACAUUUGUCUCCUUAAACGCGAGACGAUAACGACAGACACUGCAUCCAUGACAUCAGAUCUCUACAUGAUGAUUCGAUUUCUCUUUUGCCUUUUGCUCACAGCAGGUGUUUCUCAGGGCGUCCAGGUGGACCAGUCUCCCGCCGCUCUCAUCAGAAAGGCCGGUGAUGCCGUGCAGCUCGUCUGUACUCACGGAGAGGCCGACUACAAUGUGAUGCUGUGGUACCGGCAGUCGCCCGGCGACCAGGCCCUGAAACUCAUUGGACACAUAUAUUCACAUUUACAUGACGUGGAAGGAGCGUUUAUAAAGCAUUUCAAGUUGGCCGGAGAUCUGAGUGGAGAUGGAAAAAACGGUUCGCUCUCCAUAAUCAAUCUAAAAGCACCCAAACACACGGCAACGUACUUCUGCGCUGCCAGUGAGCCACAGCACCAACAGCUUGUGAAGACAAACAGGAAUCCUUCGUACUCCACAGCAUGGAGCCUCAAGUGACGCCAUCCAUAUCCUGAAGUCAGCAGGAAGUGUUUCUGCACAACAAACACCUAAAGGAGCCAGAUCACUUCGGAGGACACAGCCGUGGCCUUCGUAGGCCGGGUAGAUCACAAACGUACGGAAAUGAGACUGAAUGUCUAGUCUUUGGAGGAUUUCCUAUUUGUGUUGAGUAUUCGUCACUUGUGCGCAAUGAAUCCUGGGAUUGGUCCACGGAGGAUUCACCUGUAGUA